rnacentral:rRNA from 1 species
AGCGAACGCUGGCGGCAGGCUUAACACAUGCAAGUCGAACGCCUGUAGCAAUACGGGAGUGGCAGACGGGUGAGUAACGCGUGGGAACGUGCCCUUUGGUUCGGGAUAACCCAGGGAAACUUGGGCUAAUACCGGAUACGUCCCUAACGGGAGAAAGAUUUAUUGCCGAAGGAUCGGCCCGCGUCCGAUUAGCUAGUUGGCGGGGUAAAGGCUCACCAAGGCGACGAUCGGUAGCUGGUCUGAGAGGAUGAUCAGCCACACUGGGACUGAGACACGGCCCAGACUCCUACGGGAGGCAGCAGUGGGGAAUAUUGGACAAUGGGCGCAAGCCUGAUCCAGCCAUGCCGCGUGGGUGAUGAAGGCCCUAGGGUUGUAAAGCCCUUUCGGCGGGGAAGAUAAUGACGGUACCCGCAGAAGAAGCCCCGGCUAACUUCGUGCCAGCAGCCGCAGUAA